rnacentral:lncRNA from 1 species
CUCCACUAGUCGCCUCCCGUCGCGCCUGUGUCACGGGGUAGCGGGGGCUCGGCCCGGUGGCUGGUGCCGGACUGUGCCCGCACCCCGCCGGGGCGAAGGCGGCGGUGACGCUGCCCGGCCUUUGUCGGGGCCGGCAGGGGGGUGAGCGGCCUUCCCUUUCCUGACAUGGUGUGAGGUGCCCGCCGGGUGGCUGCUCGGCGCCCCCUGGUUUCCUCAGCCCCAGCCCUCCGGUGUGGUGCUCAGCGAGGCGCUGUGGGCGCCAGGCUGGCCCCGGCUCCCCUCCUGCCGCGAUAGGCCGCUAGAGCGGCGGUCCGGCUGGCCUGGGGUCCGCGCCCGCUCCGGGUGCCUCCGGCCAGGCAGGGGCUUUGCACGGCCAAAGGUUAAAAUGAAUGUUGGUGUCCCAGAUAAUUGGCAUAUUGGGGAGAAAUGCCUUGCCCCUUGUCUUGAAAAUGGGAAACUUCAUGAAGGAACAAUAUCCUCUAUUGAAAAGGACAAGAAUGGAAAAUCAUUUGCUGUUGUAUCAUUCUCGGAGUCUGAAGAAAGGAAAAUAUUAAUAACUAAACUUUGUAGAGUCAAAGACAGAAGAGAACCCUGGAAAAGCUCAAUAUUUGAUGAUGGUGAUCUGGAAAAGCCUUGUUUUCCUGGCCAAAAUCUUCCGUCUCCUGCAGUUGCUUUUAAAUUAUCUGACAAUGGUGAUUUUAUUCCAUAUACAAUUAACAGAUACCUGCGUGAUUAUCAAAGGGAAGGAGUCCAAUUUCUGUAUGGACAUUAUGCUAAUAAAAGGGGGUGUAUUCUUGGAGAUGAUAUGGGCCUUGGAAAGACAAUACAGGUCAUUUCGUUUUUGGCUGCAGUAUUGCACAAAAAGGGAACACGUGAAGAUAUUGAAAAUAAUAUGCCAGAAUUUUUACUGAGGACAAUGAAAAAAGAACCAAAGUGUAACCCCAAGAAGACUUUCCUCAUAGUGGCCCCUCUUUCAGUGCUGUACAACUGGAAGGAUGAGUUAGACGCAUGGGGAUACUUUAAGAUCUCUGUCUUACAUGGCAGUAAAAAAGAUGAUGACUUGAGUCGCAUCAAGCAAGGGAAGUGUGAAGUUGCCCUUACAACAUAUGAGAUACUUCGCCUGUAUUUGGAUGAAUUUAACAGUGUAGAAUGGUCUGCUGUAAUAGUGGAUGAAGCACACAGAAUCAAGAAUCCAAAGGCUCAAAUAACUCAAACCAUGAAGUCAUUAAAAUGCAGUGUUCGCAUUGGCCUUACUGGAACCAUUCUUCAGAACGAUAUGAAGGAACUUUGGUGUGUUAUGGACUGGGCUGUACCAGGACUUUUGGGUAGCAGAGCACACUUCAAGAAGAAGUUUUCUGAUCCAGUGGAGCAUGGCCAGAGGCACACUGCAACUAAAAGAGAGCUAGCAACAGGUCGUAAGGCCAUGGUGGAGCUAGCAAGAAAAAUGUCUGGCUGGUUUCUGAGGCGAACCAAAGCACUUAUCAGUGAUCAGUUGCCAAAAAAGGAAGACAGAAUCGUGUACUGUUACCUGACCGAAUUCCAGAAAGCAGUGUACCAGGCUGUGCUAGAGACAGAGGAUGUGAGCUUAGUAUUACAAGCAGGAGAGCCCUGCAGCUGCAACAGCGGCCGUAAAAGAAAGAACUGUUGUUACAAAGAAAAUGCUUAUGGUGAAACAAUUAAGUCACUGCGCUUCAGUUACCUGACAAUCCUACAGAAGGUUGCAAAUCAUGCUGCACUGCUGCAGACAGACAACACUAGCAAGCAGCAGGAAGCACAUAUCAAACGGGUGUGCAGCCAAGUGUUUUCCAGUUUUCCAGAUUUUGUGCAGUUAAGCAAAGAUGCAGCUUUUGAAACAAUUUCAGAUCCAAAGUACAGUGGAAAAAUGAAGGUCCUUCAGCAGCUUUUAAAUCACUUCCGAAGAAACAAGGAUAAAGUUCUUCUUUUCUCCUUUUCCACAAAGUUGCUGGAUGUGCUGGAACAAUACUGUAUGGCGUCUGGGCUAGAUUACCGAAGACUUGAUGGAAAUACGAAAUCAGAAGAUAGAAUGAGAAUUGUAAGAGAGUUCAACAGCAUUCAAGAAAUUAACAUAUGUCUUGUAUCUACAAUGGCUGGUGGACUAGGUCUUAAUUUUGUUGGUGCCAAUGUUGUUAUAUUGUUUGAUCCUACAUGGAACCCAGCAAAUGAUCUUCAAGCUAUUGACAGAGCUUAUAGGAUUGGCCAAUACAAACCUGUUAAAGUGUUUAGACUGAUAUCCUUGGGAACUGUGGAGGAGAUGAUGUACUUGCGGCAAGUUUAUAAACAGCAACUUCACUGUGCGGUGGUUGGAAGUGAAAAUGCCAAGCGGUAUUUUGAGGCAGUGCAAGGAUCAAAGGAACAUCAAGGAGAGCUUUUUGGGAUCCAUAACCUUUUCAAACUCAGGACUCAUGGGUCCUGUCUUACCAAAGACAUCCUGGAGAGGGAAGGGCAAGUAGAAGCAGGAGUCAUAACAGCAACUACGUGGCUAAAGGAAGAGACUUCUCCAUGCAGCUCAGAAAAGUAUGAACAACCAGACUGUAGAGAAGAUAGAAAUUCCGAAAGCAUUCAGGCACAUUUAAUAAGAGAAGAAACGGACUUUUGUGAUGACUUUAGUGAUGAUGAUAUUCUGGAAACUUCCAUGAAAAAAUGUGACAGAAGGAAGCCUUGCAAUGCAAAUAAUUCAGUGGUGACCAAGGGACAGCUUUCCUUAAUGCAGUGUGGAUUCUCUAAGUUGUUGCAGAGAGAAGUUGGAACUACCAAAGAAGAGGAGAAUAAUUACAACUCUCAUCAUUCCAGUUCUGAUGAUCAGACUUUAAGAACAAAUGUCAAUAGCAAGCACAGUGAUUUUCAGAAAUGUCAAAGCCAUGUGUCUGUUUUGGAGCAUGGGAACACUGCUCCGUCACCAGAUGGAACUGAUAAACAAAAUAUGCGUAGUACAGACUGGCUUGUUUUAUCAGGCUCUGAGGAGGAAGGGGACGUAGAAAGUGAUGAUCAAGGCAUUUCAAAGCACAGUGAUACAGUCAUGGAUAUUGAAAACAGUUCUGAAGAUGAUGAUGAUGUCAUCUUUCCUACCCAAGUUUCAGCAUGCCAGCAACCACUGCUUAGUAAAAAAGUUGAAUUAUGCAGGUCACCAUCUGUAAAUUUUGAAGAGUUAGCAAAAGAAAAACAGGGGUUUGUAUUUAAGGAAGACAGUAGGCAGUUUGGAUUCCAUAACAGUGAGUCAAAUUUCAGCAAAACUAUGUCUUUUGAAGACAUCAAGAACAGCACAAGAGAAUUGAAAGGAGCAAGUGACAUAAGUGAUGAGUCCGAUGAUAUUGAGAUUUACCAUAAUUCUAAAUUGAGAAAGUCAAGAACUUUUAGCUUUCCGAAAUGGAAAGAAAGAUAUGCCCAUAACAACAGACAAGAUAAUGUCUCAAAACCUCAGCUACAAACAAAGAAGCCCAAUAAAAAAGAAAAGGAAAGUGAUUCUCAGAAUAUAGAUGAAUUUUCAUCCUCUGAAGACAACUUGCCAGGUGAGAAAACACAUGCCAGAAAGCAAAACUAUACGCAUAAAAACCAGAGAGACAGAGUUCGGUUUGGGCCUAAAAUACUCUAUCGUAUUCAAGAUACCUCUUGCAACUGUAUACCUUCAGAGUUUUGGAAUAACCACAUCUUUGAUUAUAUCUUUCUCCUAAUAUUAGAUGGUGUCCCAGAAGUGGCAUAUAUUCAUUCAAAUCAGAAUGUGGUUGGAUCCAGCAAGGCUGAGAAUCACUUGAGCCGGUGGGCAGUACGAGAUGUAUUUGAGUUGAAGCAGUUUUCCCAGCUCCCUGCUAAUGUAGCAGUCUGUAGUGCCAAGAAGAACAUUAUGAAGGGAAGACGAGAAAUGUUGGCAAACAGUAAUCAACACCACCUGUAUGUUAUGCAUCCUGUGACCCAGAAAAACAAAAAAAUACACAAAGUAGGUUCAACCACCUUCUUGGUUGGGAGGACACCCAAAGGAAUCCGCAGGAGACAGUUUGAAGAAAUGGUGUCCCACUUUAAUAUGGGAUCAGUGGAAGAACUUGCAGAACAUGUUGUAAAAGCUACAUCAGAAACAAGGCAGAAGAUGUUGAGGGAAUUCUAUAUUUCCAGGCAUCCAGAGAUGGAGUCUUUCUUCCCAGCUGAAAUAGCAGUACAGUCUUCACGUGACUGUGAGGAAAAAGAAUUGGGUACAACACACUCCAGAAAAAGAAAAUCCAUUGCUAAUUUUGGAAGAUCUAAGUCUAGACCUUCAUCAGCUAACGGACUACUUUGGAGCAGAACUACAGAAACACAGAGCCAGCAGAGCCAAAAAGUAGAAGUAGAGCAGAUUCACAAUGACUCCUACUUGCAAGAUGUGUGUGUUGAUGCAAAAUAUAAACAAUCACCCACUGUUGCUACUCAACAUAUCGAAAGGAGAAACAGUCAGGCAUUCAAGGAUUUUAUGGCAUUUGGCUCAUUAGGCAGUAAAUCAGAAAUAAUUGAGGUGCUGCCUGUAAAAAGUUGUGAAGGACAGCAGGGCUCAGAAGGAACACAGCUGCCAAGAAAAAGAUGCCUGUCUCAGUCAGCAAAUGGGGAGAGAAAAGCUCAUACUUGUAAGAAAAAGUCUUUUGUGGACUUACUUGGAGAUACCUCUAUUCUCAAUGACCUCUUCAGAAAUGAUGGAAGUGGGCCUACAGACUCACUAAGGAGAUUCCCUUCAGGGCAAGUAGAAAAAUCAAAGGAGAAACCAAAAGAUUUCUGGGACAUGCUGAGUGAGCAGAAUGAGGAGAGCCUCAGAAAGCUCACAGACAUAGCAGUCAUAGAGAAGCUAUGUGAAAAAGCACCUCCUCCCCUGGUAACAGAAGAGAGAGAAGUGCAUGAAAGUUCUCUUUGGAAAAAAAACGAAAAUUUUCUAUGGAAAAAGUACAGUCCAGAUGAUUCAGAUGGACCAUCCACUGAAUGA